AGGGCUACACACGUGCUACAAUGGUCGGUACAAAGGGUUGCCAAGCCGCGAGGUGGAGCUAAUCCCAUAAAACCGAUCGUAGUCCGGAUCGCAGUCUGCAACUCGACUGCGUGAAGUCGGAAUCGCUAGUAAUCGUGAAUCAGAAUGUCACGGUGAAUACGUUCCCGGGCCUUGUACACACCGCCCGUCACACCAUGGGAGUGGGUUGCUCCAGAAGUAGCUAGUCUAACCGCAAGGGGGACGGUUACCACGGAGUGAUUCAAGACUGGGGUGAAGUCCUAACAAGGUGCCGUAAA
rnacentral:rRNA from 1 species